UCUAUAGCCACAUCAGGCACUUCCGUGACAGAAGCUUCAUCAACAAUUGCUAGUACAGCAACCACUUUGACAACAGAUGCGAUAUCAUCUACAAUAUCAGAAACUGAAAGCCAGAGUUGGACCACUCAAUCUACAAUUCCAGUAAUAGUGUCCUCCUCCACUUCUUCUGACCAAACGUCGUCUACAGCCACAUCAGGCACUUCCGUGACAGAAGCUUCAUCCACAAUGGCUAGUACAGCAACCACUCUGACAACAGUUGCGAUAUCAUCUACAAUGUCAGAAACUGAAAGCCAGAGUUCGACCACUCAAUCUACAAAUCUAGUAAGAGUGUCCUCCUCCACUUCUUCUGACCAAACGUCGUCUACAGCCACAUCAGGCACUUCCGUGACAGAAGCUUCAGCCACUAACAUACAAAGCACUACUUCUAACAGUUCUACUGUUGCCUCAACAGGCAUUACUAGUAUGGACACAGCAAAUACAUCUUCUUCAGAAAAUUACACUGCUAUAACGCAACAGGACACAGGUUACUCUGUCAGCUGCAGUGCCUCAUGU
ensembl:lncRNA